rnacentral:rRNA from 1 species
UACAGAGGUCCCGAGCGUUGUUCGGAUUCAUUGGGCGUAAAGGGUGCGUAGGUGGCGCUGUAAGUCGGGUGUGAAAUUUCGGAGCUUAACUCCGAAACUGCAUUCGAUACUGCGGUGCUUGAGGACUGGAGAGGAGACUGGAAUUCAUGGUGUAGCAGUGAAAUGCGUAGAGAUCAUGAGGAAGACCAGUGGCGAAGGCGGGUCUCUGGACAGUUCCUGACACUGAGGCACGAAGGCCAGGGGAGCAAACGGG